rnacentral:misc_RNA from 1 species
AACGCACAUUGCACUCUCUGGUAUUCCGGAGAGUAUGCUUGUUUGAGUAUCUGUAAACAUCUCAACCCUCAAGGCGCUUGCGUCGGGAGGAUUGGACUUGAGCGAUCCCGACUCUUUCUCACGAAAGAGGAGGGUCGCUUGAAAUGCAGGUGCAGCAGGACAUUCUUCUGAGCUAAAAGCAUAUCUAUUUAGUCCCGUCAAACGGAUUAUUACUUUUGCUUCAGCUAACAUAAAGGUCGAAUGCGCCACAAUCGCUGAUUGCAGGAAAACUCGUUCGUAAGAACUUGUAAACUCGAUCUCAAAUCAAGUAAGACUACCCGCUGAACUUAA